GGGGGAGGUCGACCAACCUCGGGCUCAGUGCCUCCCCCGCAUCAGUAAGAACGUCCCGCUAGAGCGAUCACACACCAGACAUGGCAGGAACCAGUGUGCGCCUUCACACGCAUACACACGUCUCAUUUACAUCCACGGGCAAGCUCCGAGCGGCGGCGUUGGCACUGUGGGCGGUUGUCACGGGCUGCUGGGCUCUCCCCGGCUGAUCUGGAGCGACGGCGGCGGCGGAGGUGGUGCAGGUGAUUGCGCGAGGCAUCACCCGUUCAUCGGCAUCAGUCCCGGCCACCAUUUGUAGCAUCCCCAUUUGCAUGCGUAGGGAGGCACAUUACGUCGCCGCUCUGAUGUGGGAGGAGGGAGCAGGAGAGAGGUGGGGGGGGGCAGGGGUAGAGAUGAGGGAAAUGGGGCAUUGGAAGUGAGGAGGACGGCGGGGGGAGAGAUUUCAGUGGAGCUUUCGGGAUCCGCUUGUUCCUUUUUGAGCUGAAGGUAACUGGGGGAGAAAGGAGGGGAUAGAUGGAUGGUCAAAGAUUCAAAGCUGAAGAGGCCCGGUCUUCGACAACAGCUCAAUUCACCACAGGAGUGCUCGGCCGAUCCCCGGAAAACAAAAGAGCCCACUUAAAAAAAAAAUAAUACAAUCUCCAUUCAUCCUAAUGGGCUGUGAAACCUCAACAGUACGCAAAGCACCGGAGACGCCGCGUUCACCUCCAUCUUUAUCCGAUCGAGCACAAGACCCCAUCGUCCUUUCGACAACAGCACACCCGGAGAGGGUGGGGAGAAAAAAAUGGAGAGCAUAGAAAUAAAUAAAUAAAUUCUCAAGAAUAGAAAUCCACCGUUUCCCGCAAUCCGACGGAAGAAGCUCCCGAUUCUAUCGCCGUAGCAUCCAUUCAUUAACAGGGGGGGGAGGGGGGGGGAUGCAAACUCCAGUCAACGGCAAAUCUCUUUCAACGCUAAUGCUGCAGCUGCUCCCAGCACCUCCAGGAAGGGUGUGUGUGUGUGUGUGUGUGUGUGUGUGAGAGAACGUGUGUAUGCGCGCAACCGCCUGCUGCGCGCGAUUCUGCGUGAGCAUGCAUGCGUCUGUGUCUGGGUGAUUGAGGCUGAGGGGAGGGGAGGAGUGGAUGAGAGAGAGAGAGAGAGAGAGAGAAUAUCAACAGCUCCAAACACACACAAUAAUAUAUAUAUAUAUAUAUAUAUAUUUUGACCGGGGAACAGCUCAGGUUCCAAAUCUUUGGCUGAAUUUCCCCCCUUCCUCUGGUGUUCCCUCACCCUCUGCUCUUGAAGGAUGAGGGGUCCCUUAAGCCACCAUCCGUUCUCUCUUUUGGUGUCCCACCUGAAGCUAAAGACUUGACAGGGCCACAACCAAAGUGGAAAGUGGAAGUGUUUCCCAACGUCCCGACUUUUGUCUGAUUAGUGCUUUCCCACCGGUUGAUUCCCAAUAAUAAUGCUGUGUGUGGCGCCGUCGGUGGGAAGAAGAAAAAAAAACCCCAAAGCAUCACCUUAAUCACAUCCGGAGUGGCAGCUCCUGCUAGCUGCACACUCCUGCUGACUCACAUGUGUGGAGUGUGAAUGGACGGUUGGAGGGACAGAAUAAGGAGCAAUGUGAGAGGGCAGGACGGGUGGAGGAGGAGGAGGAGGGGGGGGAUGCGGUGUCACAACCAAUCUGCUCCCGUUCACUGAUACCAAAGAGAACGAGGAGAGGAGGGGUGAGGAGGAGGAGGAGGAGGAGGAGGAGGAGGAGGAGGGAGAGCGACACCACGCCAGCCAUUUUAUUUCUCAGUAGUGCUGCAACAGCCUUUGUUGCCAUGACGACGCAAGCCGAUGAUCUCAUAGCUGUUACCUUUGAGCGCUGAUCCCUUAAAGAGACAGUCACUCAAGACAGGAGCGGGCAGACACCACGGAGACGGGGACGGAGCGCUCCGUCGGACGGACGGAAAGUACUCCGACAUCGCCGCUGAAACAUGGAGAUCCCUCAACACUCGUCUCACAACCAGGAUUACUGUGAUUCUCUCACCGGGAGAAACGAAUAGCAAGAUGUCCUGAUAACAGAAAGGCCUUUUCUGAAGGAAAAAAAAAGACAUGUAUCCACAGUGACGACAUCGAUUUGCAUGACAUCCGACGGAAAAUCCUACUCACUCCAAAUGUUGUUCACUGAUGGAACUGACGAUCUCAACUGAGGCUCUACUGGCACAAAACAGCUGAUAUGUGACAUCGCUCUCAUCUGCGGACACACUCGGUCGGAUAAAGAAGCUUGCGAGGGUGUGAUGGAUGCAGCGGUUAGACUCGCUGACAAUAAAGUCAUCCAAACCUGUCCCAGCACACACACACACACACACCGUUAUAGCCUUGCCAGGAAAAGAUGAGUGUGAGUGUGGGAAUGUUGAACUGGAGGAGAACUGGGCCCAGAGUCCCUUCUCCUCUCCCUGAAGGAGUAAACUACCUGUUGGGAGGCGAGGUCUUGAGUCAGAGGGAGUAAAAGAUAUCAUAUAAAAACCUCAGGGAAAAGUAUUUCACUCGCAUUCAUAAGUAAGGAGAGUAAUUUGCGGUUUCUUCCAGUAGCAAGGGGCACAACACCUGAAACCAGUCUUCCCCAGUUCGAUAUUAUUCAAGGUGCGCAGCUAUUUCUUUCAUUGUUCUGGGAUUUUACGGUGUGAAAACCUGAACCCUGAAUUUAGUCCGAGUCUUUAGGGUGUUACGUCUCAACAGUCAAGUCCAUGUCCUCAUUUGUGUGACUUAAAUCUCACGUCUCCAGCUCUGAACUGACGUAUUUAGUCUAAACGAAAAGUACUACUAAAUGGUGACGCAAGUUAAUAUGACCGGUUGAAAUCACUUUAUGUGCGUCAUGUAGCUAGUCGUCUUCUGACAGUCAUGUUAUUGCCACUGAACACUUAUUCAUACCCUCUGUCAUAUUCAUUGAAUGUGUUGUUACAUUGUAAUGAUGCCUUCUGUACACAUCCGGGGAGAGAGAUCCUCCUCUGUUGCUCUCCUGAAUGUUUCUUCCCUGUGAAAGAUUUUUUGGGAGUUUUCCCUGAUCCGAUGUGAGGUUCUGGGACAGGAAUGUCUAUGUGUACAGAUUGUAAAGCCCUCUGAGGCAAAUUUUUAAUUUGUGAAAAUGGGCUACACAAAAUAAACUGAAUUUAAUAAACUUAUUGUUGACAGACA